rnacentral:rRNA from 1 species
GACGAACGCUGGCGGCGUGCUUAACACAUGCAAGUCGAACGGAAAGGCCCUGCCUUGGUGGGGUGCGCGAGUGGCGAACGGGUGAGUAACACGUGAGUAACCUGCCCUUGACUUUGGGAUAACUGCAGGAAACUGGGGCAAAUACCGGAUAGGAGCUCCUGCUGCAGGGUGGGGGUUGGAAAGUUUCGGCGGUUGGGGAUGGACUCGCGGCUUAUCUGCUUGGGGGUGGGGUAGUGGCUCACAAAGGCUUGGACGGGUGGCCGGCAUGGGGGGGUGACCGGCACCAUGGGGACUGAGUGAGGGCCCAGAGUCCAACGGGAGGCAGCGGUGGGAAACAUGGCCCAUCGGGCGCAAGCCUGUUGAGGCACCGCCGCGGGCGGAAUGAAGGCUUUCGGGUAAAAAACCGCUUUAGCCUGUGACAAACCGUGUGUGACGGUACCGGGAGAAGAAGCACCGGCUAACUACGUG